ensembl:misc_RNA 7SK 7SK RNA
UGUGAGGGCGAGCUGGCUGAGACAUCUGUUACCCCAUUGAUCGCCAGGGCUGAUUCGGCUGAUCUGGCUGGCCAGGCGGGUGUCCCCUUCCUGCCUCACAGCUCCAUGUGUGUCCCUCCCGAAGCGGCGGGCUCGGUGGACAAGGACGACCAUCCCCGCUAGAGGAGGAUGAGUCUUCGGUCAAGUCAAGGGUAUACGAGUAGCUGUGCUCCCCUGCUAGAACCUCCAAACAAGCUCUCAAGGUAGCCCUACUUAAAGGAACAAAGGUAACUACCAUUUGAAAUUAUGUGAAAGCAUAAAACUUGCUACAAAAAAAUUU